UAAUUUAUAUGUAAUUAGUUAAA
rnacentral:tRNA from 1 species